AUGCUCAAGUCGUCGGUCCUUUAUCAAUUUACAUGAAGAAGAACGCACAGUUGCUUAGGACUUUGAGGACGAAUCCGACCGACGACGUAAGCAGUAGCAUAUCACAACAGAAGUCCGUCUGCUGUAGACGUGUGAACGGUGUCUGCCAGAUUAAAAGAUGCGUUUAGUUAUUUUAGAUGACAGUGAGAAAGUGGCAGAAUGGGCUGCCAGAUAUGUAAUUAAAAGAAUAAAUGACUUCAAACCAGGACCUAAUAACUUCUUUGUUCUUGGGCUACCAACAGGUAGUACACCACUUGGCACAUACAAGAAACUAGUGAAGUACCACAAAGCUGGAAAAAUUUCAUUCAAAUAUGUCAAGACAUUCAACAUGGAUGAGUAUGUUGGGAUCCCAAGGGAUCAUGAACAAAGCUACCAUACAUUUAUGUGGGAGAACCUCUUCAAGCACAUUGACAUUGAUCCUGCCAAUGCCCACAUUCUGAAUGGGAAUUCUGAUGACCUGGAAAAGGAGUGUCAGGAAUAUGAACGUAAGAUCAAGGAAGCUGGGGGCAUUGAGCUCUUCAUGGGAGGAAUUGGCCCAGAUGGACAUAUCGCUUUCAAUGAGCCAGGUUCCAGUUUAGUGUCACGCACACGUGUGAAGACACUAAAUCAAGAAACAAUAACAGCUAAUGCAAGAUUCUUCAAUAACGAUAUUAAUUUGGUUCCCAAGCAAGCUCUAACUGUUGGAGUGGGCACUGUUAUGGAUGCCAGAGAGGUGAUGGUGCUGAUCACAGGCUCCCACAAAGCCUAUGCACUCCACAUGGCCAUUGAGGAAGGUGUCAACCACAUGUGGACUGUAUCUGCUUUCCAGCAGCAUCCCAGAACUAUUAUGUUAUGUGACGAAGAUGCAACACUUGAAUUGAAAGUAAAGACUGUCAAGUACUUUAAGAAUCUUCAUGACAUACAUUCUUGCCUGAUAGAAGAGGAGCCUUGAAAGGUGAUGGUUGCAUGACUGUUUGGCUUGGUGCUUGUUCACAUUAUGCCAAUUGACUUGCAGAAUGUACACUCAAAACUGAUUGAUGACCCCAUGAUGGCUCGGUUCUCAUAAUUUAAGACAAAACAAGAUAUUCAACUUUGCCAUUGCCUGUAUGAGUUUUGUAUUGGUGAAGGGAAUGCAGAUUUGGUGAAGGGUGUUCUUGUUACUUUGUUUUACUCAGUCACUGAAUUUAAAAAGAAUUAUUACCACUAAUGUAGUCAUUAUGGUGCUUUUAUUACCAAAUGGAAGAGUUUUUAGGUAUGGAUAAAGCUUUGUUUUGCUAUUCUUUUCAUUAAGUGGUACACUAGGUUUGGUAGUGAUGGAGUUUGGAAACUUGAAUGGAAGUGCAGUGAAUGGCUAUUGCUCUUGCACAGGUUUACCAUUGUGUUUAAAUGUCCCAUUGUUAUUAUUUUCAUUCAUAGAGGAUGGAUAUUUGUAAUAUAUGACAGUUCAUAUCUGUGUCCAGCGAGAACAGGAAAGUUGUGAGCACCCACAUCACUGAGGGAAUGAUUGUGAUAUAGCUACUUAAAUAUAAUGGAUCUCAUUAUUAUUUGCUAAAAUUGGAAUCUCUUGGGAAUAGUCUCAUAUCCCACAGUUCCUUGUACGAUUCACUGUGAAUCAUGCUACUAGGUCAAGUUUCUCAAAAUUUUGUAACUUCAGAUGUGCAAAUUACUUUUCAAGACUUCUAAUACUGUUCCAAAUGGAAGAUAAGCUUGCUAAAGGACUUGAAAUUUUGUAAAGAUGUUAAGUGUACUUAUUGCGGCAUUAGAACGGGUGGUGUUUCUCACUUGUUAGUGACUAGCUUUAGGUUUUAUUUGUGGCAUUAUUUGUAAUGGUCAUUCAUUAUAGUGCAAUAGUAUUCAUUAGUAUGGUUCAGUUUAUUCAUUAUAUUUAGUGAUGCAAUAUACUGUUUUUUGCAAGCCUUGGAAGAACCUGUUACAACUGCAGUACAGUCCCCCCAUAAACUAUCAAGAGUAAUCUUUACUAUGCAAAAAAAUUACCGUAUUUUAAGGAUUGAUAAACAACCAUGCUGAAACUUGAAUAUUCUAUCUGCAGUCUACCCAUGUAUCAUCAAGUUUCUCUGAUGUUUAAGUAGAUUAACCAGACCACCGAGCUAAUGCUCUCUGAGGGCUGACCAAAAAGGUAUGUCUGUACUAAUGAUAUGAUUACAUUUUUUAAAUUCUCAGUACUGCUGUGAGUUAAGCAAACUGCCAUACUGAGUGUAUUUUUUCAUCUUACUGCUACUAAGAGUCUUAACUAAUUAAAUAUCAAAAUUAUCUAAAUGUUUGCAAUAUCACCUCAUUCCUUUUCUCAGUUUCUUCAUUUUUCUUUAUUCAUUGUAUUUGUCUGUGAUAAUUGUAGUGAUAUUUGUGAUUAGUUGAAAAAUUUAAUCCAGUUCCCUUUAUUUAUGUAAAUUCUAUAUAUUUAAGAUUUGGAAACUUAAUUUUUUCAAGUUUUCUGGUUUGGAAGGGAUGGUAUGUAAUGAAUACUGGAUGUGGUUUGUUGUAUCUAGGCAGGUUGCUUGCCUUGCAAAAGUAGUAGGACUAGUAAGUUUGAUGUACUAUUUUUGUACAACGUAGUUAUACUGAAAAAUAUUCAUACUGAUAUUCUAGUCCUAAAACAUGAACUGUCCAAUGGUGUAGAUUUUUUAAGGUUUGUAUUGCCUCUUCCAAAAUGUUCUUGUACUGUAUGUAUAUUUUAAUGAAGCACAGUCCUUUAUGGCAUUUACUGAAGGAUGACUGGAAAAUUUUUGAGUAAUAAUGUAUGUGCAGUAUAGGUAUAUAUUUUUUAAUGCUUACAGAAUGUCAGCAUAAGAUUAGAAAAAUUAUUUGACAUAACUCAAGAUAUUUACAAAGAUUUUUUGUACUCUGUUUUGAACAUAAUUCCUCGUAAGAAAAGAAUACUUUAAGAGACAUUUAGGCGUUCAGGCACAAAAUACACAGGGCAGAGGGGAGAAAAGUUGUCUCCCAAUGAACGUACAUGUAAUAACUGAAAAAAAAUGUUCAUGAUAGUGAUUAUGAUGUACGUACUUAUAUCAGAUGUGAAUAGUCAAAAGAACUGAAAAUAAUACAGUUGACAUUAAGAGAUAGGAAUUUUAAAAUAAGUCAAUAGCUAACCUUAAUUGUUUCUGAGAUAUCACACUAUGCCCAUAAAAGACACUAAAUGUAUUUUCUCCUACAUAUUCCAGUUAUGAUUCUUAAUAUAGAAACCUGUAUGUACUGCAAAUAUCCUAUGCAGGAAAUACCACAUGGUUACAGUUUAUAUAACUAGAGGUGGUGUUUUCUUUCAGGCCUAUUAAGGUAAGUAUAUAUUCAUUUAUAAUUUUGAAAUCUAUAAUAUAUUCAAAGACAGAGGUUUCCAGCUGUGAUUAUGUAAAAAUUAUAUCCAAUUUUAAGACUCGGUUCUGCCGUACAUUUUCAGUUGCACAGUUAUAAUAAACAUAUUCCAUUC